rnacentral:rRNA from 1 species
UCCGUAGGCGGCGCAGAAAGUAGGGUGUGAAAUCCCUCGGCUUAACCGAGGAAUUGCGCCCUAAACUACUGUGCUCGAGGAACCUAGAGGUGAGCGGAACUGAUGGUGGAGCGGUGAAAUGCGUUGAUAUCAUCAGGAACACCGGAGGCGAAGGCGGCUCACUGGGGGUUUUCGUUGACGCUGAGGGACGAAAGCCAGGGGAGCGAACG